rnacentral:rRNA from 1 species
GGAUCCAGACUUUGAUCCUGGCUCGGGACGAACGCUGGCGGCGCGCCUAACACAUGCAAGUCGAACGAGCGAGAGAGAGCUUGCUUUCUCGAGCGAGUGGCGAACGGGUGAGUAACGCGUGAGGAACCUGCCUCAAAGAGGGGGACAACAGUUGGAAACGACUGCUAAUACCGCAUAAGCCCACGACCCGGCAUCGGGAAGAGGGAAAAGGAGCAAUCCGCUUUGAGAUGGCCUCGCGUCCGAUUAGCUAGUUGGUGAGGUAACGGCCCACCAAGGCAACGAUCGGUAGCCGGACUGAGAGGUUGAACGGCCACAUUGGGACUGAGACACGGCCCAGGCUCCUACGGGAGGCAGCAGUGGGGAAUAUUGCACAAUGGGGGAAACCCUGAUGCAGCGACGCCGCGUGGAGGAAGAAGGUCUUCGGAUUGUAAACUCCUGUUGUUGAGGAAGAUAAUGACGGUACUCAACAAGGAAGUGACGGCUAACUACGUGCCAGCAGCCGCGGUAAAACGUAGGUCACAAGCGUUGUCCGGAAUUACUGGGUGUAAAGGGAGCGCAGGCGGGAAGACAAGUUGGAAGUGAAAUCCAUGGGCUCAACCCAUGAACUGCUUUCAAAACUGUUUUUCUUGAGUAGUGCAGAGGUAGGCGGAAUUCCCGGUGUAGCGGUGGAAUGCGUAGAUAUCGGGAGGAACACCAGUGGCGAAGGCGGCCUACUGGGCACCAACUGACGCUGAGGCUCGAAAGUGUGGGUAGCAAACAGGAUUAGAUACCCUGGUAGUCCACACCGUAAACGAUGAUUACUAGGUGUUGGAGGAUUGACCCCUUCAGUGCCGCAGUUAACGCAAUAAGUAAUCCACCUGGGGAGUACGACCGCAAGGUUGCAACUCAAAUGAAUUGACGG